AACGAACGCUGGCGGCAGGCUUAACACAUGCAAGUCGAACGCAUCCUUCGGGGUGAGUGGCAGACGGGUGAGUAACGCGUGGGAACGUGCCCUUCAGUUCGGGAUAACCCAGGGAAACUUGGGCUAAUACCGGAUACGUGCGAGAGCAGAAAGAUUUAUCGCUGAAGGAUCGGCCCGCGUCUGAUUAGCUAGUUGGUGGGGUAAUGGCCAACCAAGGCGACGAUCAGUAGCUGGUCUGAGAGGAUGAUCAGCCACAUGGGGACGGAGACACGGCCCAAACUCCUACGGGAGGCAGCAGUGGGGAAUAUUGGACAAUGGGCGCAAGCCUGAUCCAGCCAUGCCGCGUGAGUGAUGAAGGCCUUAGGGUUGUAAAGCUCUUUCGUCCGGGACGAUAAUGACGGUACCGGAAGAAGAAGCCCCGGCUAACUUCGUGCCAGCCGCCGCGGUAA
rnacentral:rRNA from 1 species